rnacentral:lncRNA from 10 species
CGUCACUUUUAUUUACAGCCCGGUGAGCGGUGUCUGUGUCGCUCAGCCUGGCCCCAAGAACAGUCACCGCGAACAAUGAGCCAGACAAGGGACCCACCCAGAGAACGCCUGCUCGCCGGCCGCGCGCAAGCCCGCUAGCGCGGGACGCUCCGGGCUUCGGGGCUCUGGGUGCCCCCACCCCUUCCCCUCUAAACCCCAAGGAAAGCAAGAAGCAGAUGCUCAGCAGUCCCAUAGGAUCAGUAACAGCACAGCACCAUUGCCAAGCCACAUGGAAGCAUGAAGCAAAAGAAAACAUCAGUAAUAUUGAUUUUGUCUUAAUUUACAAUGUUAAUAUGUUGUUCAUCAUGGAUUUCCCACAUUAAUUUUGAUUUAAUAAAAUAUUACAUUAUCAUUUACCUUGAUU